ACGAGUGCAACCAUACAUGUGUUGUUCCUAUUUUUCUCCUGAAAACAAUUUAUUUUCCCCUAAUACCCCCAGACCCCGACUCCCUCGCUCGGCUCCGGAGCUCCUCCAUCGCCGACGAUUACCUAGCGGACUAGCGCGAGAAAGCCCUAGAUUAAAGCCAAAAUAUUGUUUCAGAAACUAAUAAGAUGGUAACUUUUUAAGAUGAUUAUAAUCGGCGGAAAUCUGAUUCUCUACAUGAUUGAAAUUAGGUCAUCUAUUGGUUAGUAUUUAUCUUGGAAUUUAUGCAUAAACAUAUAUAAGUUAGUGUUAAUCAAGUUCUAAUUGUCACUUCCAUCUGCAUUGUCAAGAUGAAGCUGAUAACUUUCGAUAUGGGUUGUGGCGUUAGCAGUGGUGGAGGGCAGAGCUUGGUGUUGGGUUACUACUUGUUUGCCAGCAAUGAGGCUCUAAAAGCAGCCGCAGAGAAUGCACAAGCUGUGCCGAGAGAUGACAGCUCUUGAGGCAUUGGGGGGAGGGGGAGUAUCAGGCAGAGGUGGAGGAGCUCAAGCAAUACUUGAGAACCAGGCAGAGGUGGGUUGCUGAAGCUGAUAACGUUCGAUCUUAGGCGAAUAGGAGAUAUAGGUUGUGGUGGAGGGCAGUGCUUGGUGUUGGGUUACUACUUGUUUGCCAGCAAUGAGGCUCUAAAACCAGCAGCUGAGAAUGCACAAGCUGUGCUGAGAGAUGUCAUCUAUUUUUAGUUUCAUACCUACAACAAAAUGUUUCAAACUAAUGAAGCCAUACUGCUAGUUCCUAGUUGCCUAUCUGUAACCACAUGAAAAGCCUAUUUUCUUGUAAGCCUAGUUAUGGACUUGCAAGACACAUAUACUACUGUAUUGUUUGGUAACUGAACUUAAUAAAAUUCUACUAUACUGCUACA